UACGAAGGGGCGAGCGUUGUUCGGAUUUACUGGGCGUAAAGGGCGCGAGUAGGCGGCGGGUCGAAGCUCGAGUGUGAAAGCCCCGGGCUCAACCUGGGAAUUGCGCUCGAGACUGGUCUGCUUGAGUUCGGGAGAGGAGAGUGGAAUUCCCAGUGUAGAGGUGAAAUUCGUAGAUAUUGGGAAGAACACCGGUGGCGAAGGCGGCUCUCUGGACCGAGACUGACGCUGAGGCGCGAAAGCGUGGGGAGCAAACAGGAUUAAGAA
rnacentral:rRNA from 1 species